UCUCGGCCGAUUUUUUGCUUUGAGUUGUGAGCUAAAAUUUGGGUUACGAGCCAGCUUCAGAUACCCCACCGCUAGUUGGCGCAGCGAACAUCACAGUGAACGCCACAACAUCAGCCCAGCAUCGAGUGUCUCACUCGUUCACUUUUUGAUGUGACAUACGACCGAACCAGUUUGGCUCAGUGGAUAGAGCGUCGGCCUGCAGACUCAGGGGUCCCAGGUUCGAUUCCGGUCAAGGGCAUGUACCUUGGUUGCGGGCACAUCCCCACUGGGGGGCGUGCAGGAGACAGCUGAUCGAUCUCUCUCAUCGAUGUUUCUGGCUCUCUAUCCCUCUCCCUUCUUCUCUGUAAAAAAUCAAUAAAAUAUAUUUUUUAAAAAAAA